AAGAGUAAAAUGCUGUCUGUGUCUCACUCAAUGUGGUGGCUGCUACAGGAGGAUCUUCCCAGGCCUUCUCAGGGAAUUCCCAUCAGGAUCACAGGAAUGGUCCCUGGCAGACACAACCCAAUCUGCACCUUCCAUGGGCCACAGCUGACGAUACGAGGAGAGGUGUGACAUCUGCCUGACGCUCUGGGGGUUCCCAUGGGUGGACAGAAGGAGCCCUGGAGGCCCGGCCAGGACAUGUCAUCUGUGGCUGCCACGUGGAUUCUCUGGUGUGCUGAGUCAAGGCAGCAGUCUUCCAAGUGUGGUCGCUGUACCACCAUCAGCACCUCCUGGGACUUGUCAGGAUGCUGACCCGGGCCCCAGCCAAGACCUGCUGCUGCCGCCUCAGGGGGACAGAGGCAGGUCCUCACUGUCUGAUGAUCCAGCCCUGCAGGGGGCCUGUUGCACCUGCAGGUGUGAGAGCCGCUGCUGAAUUAAGGUGACUUUGAAAGGUUUCAGGGCAUGGGAGGGAGGGAGAUCAUUUGGGGCUGAAAAGCACUUUUGCAUCUCUUUCCUGCCCAGAAGCAACCAGAGAGGCCAGGCAUUGUCACCU
rnacentral:lncRNA from 1 species